ensembl:lncRNA
GUCCUGGCAAGGCAAGUUUAUUUGUAGAGCACAAUUCAUACACAAGGCAAUUCAAAGUGCUUCACAGCUGCAUAAAAUUACAAGAAAACAGAUCAAUCAAUAAAACAUAAAAUUAAUUUCAAUCAACAGUAAUUACUUUUAAGGGGAGUACAGUUUAGACUUGAGGCAGUUAUGUGAAUGUGAAUCUAUAUUUGAUGUUUUCUAUUUGCUUUUUCAUAUAAUCGUUCCUCUUCUGUGUUAGAAACGCAUGCAGCAGAUAGUGACCCAGUGCUUUCUGUCGGUCAAAUCCAAGCUGGACUGCAGACCGGGCUUCUUCGACCUGAUCGGCUGUGACUUCAUGAUCGAUGAGGACUUUAACGUAGGCGCUGAGAUAAUAUUCCUUUUUAUUUACCUAUUGUCUCUUGUGUGUAAUCUGUUUGCGGUGUUUUCAGGUGUGGCUGCUGGAGAUGAACUGUAACCCUGCUCUCCAUACAAACUGCUCAGUGCUGGAGGAGGUCAUCCCCAGCACUGUCCACGAGACGCUGGAUAUAACUUUGGAGAUCUUUAAUAAGUGCCGCUGUCGACAAAGCAUCUUCCCUCUGUUGACGCAGAAGAACUCUGUGUUGCUGUUCAAAGGUGUUUUUCCACCUAAUGCUGUUCUGCCGUGUGACAGAAGCAGGGCAGCUACGUACGGUGAGCGCUCUCUGAAGACCAGCUUGAAGCACUAGAAGGAGGGGCCCGUGAGGUGGCAGUCAGGCCUCCAGUGCAAGUCGUGCGUUGGCAGGAGGCGAGGGAAAGCCAAUGCUCCGCAGCUCACGAAGGCCCAGGAGGAAGAAGGUCUCACCAAUGUUAAUCAUUCACACCUCGACAACAGUGCCACGUGUGAAACCAACAGAAUGGACAGAAGGAAAACUUGCAACAUGAAUAAACAAGCAGUUCAAACCAUAGUCAGAAAGUAGGAACACUGACCCCAUUAUGUUAACCCAAACCGCACUCGUGACUCAUGUGUGAACACCUGGUGCUGUCCUGGGCCACAGGAAACCGCAAGCAGGAAGUAAAAUAUAAAACAAAAAUCUUUCAUGUCUUUAGUUUUCUAAUUAAAUAAAGUUUAUCUCACCUGACUCAGUGAAUUUUCUUGACAGGAGAGACUUGGACUCUUACUACUGCAACAUUUGUACUAAAAAACGUUUUUAUUUUAUUUAACCAGGAAGUCCCUUGAGAUAAAUCUCUUUUCCGAGGGAGAUCUGGCCAAGAGGUGCCGGUAACAAAUAUGAAACAAAUAACAUAACAUAGCAGCAAAAGAUAAUGUGGCAACGAUGGCGCAGAGAGUAGAGCGGGUCGUCUUAUGUGUCAGGUGCACACUGUCGUUGUGUCCUUGGGCAAGACACUUCACCCUCCUUGCCUCCAGUGUCUGUGUAUGUGGCAUGACGAGUGGUUAGGGUGUUUAGAAACUAAACAUAAUAUACUUGAAUAACUAAAAUACCAACAACGCCAGCUUGAAUUAACAAGCACUAAAGGACACACAGGUUCGUAAUUGAAUAAGAGGCAUAGACAGUUCCAUUACAAAAAAUAUAAGGUUUCAUUUAUUUACUUUGUGUUAAACUCAAUAAGUUAUUUGGAUUUCAUUUCCUUGUACCAAGUACCAUAAAAAACAGGUUUACGUUUCAGUUCCUUCUCAUGUUGGUUGUGACCAGCGUGGGCACAAUUGUUCAUUUACUUCUAUAAGAGUAUCCCAAUGGAUUGAUUACAGUGGAGGGAAACAACUCAGACGACAUGGGUACAGAGGUAAAAGGCGAGAAGGCGAGACAGCCAUGGUGUUGUGUGGAGACCUAUUAAAAAAAAAAAAGGAAACAUUAAGCUACAAAAUUAUCACUUACUCUUGCGUGGACCAAAACAAACACUGACGAAGGGCGAAGUGGUGCUUAAAAUAAAUUUCUUGGGAGCGCAACAGCGGUGCAGUUUUUAUUCUUUGAUUCCAAAACAAACACGUACCUCCUCCGAGCGCAGAGGCACGCGCUGUCAGGACCAAAACAACCGGAGGAACCCACACGGAGGACAAAAGCCAGGACAUCGGCCACCAUAGCCGGCCUCUGAACAUCGCGGCGCGGGCCGGAGCUAAAAGUGAUACAAUCGCCUGAUCACCAACUAUUUAAAGACACGGUAGUUACAAUAAAGAGAAUACUGAAUACCUGUGAGCCGCCCGCAGCUAACGCUCCGUGACUACCCGGAAGAGUGACGGUAAAGCUAAAGCAGGGGCUAUUUAUAUUUUAG